AGACAACACAAGGCAAUAACCUGAACAAAGUUGCAAUGUAUUUAUUCAGUUAAUACACACACAAUCUCAAACUGACUGAGUGGUGUUUUAUUGUCAUUGCAUACAACUUUUGUUCCCUCUUAAAUUUCUGAUGAAGUGCUGCCUCCCCUGAUGAGGAGCUAUGGUUGACGCCGUGUUCUUGGGCCAGAAUCAGAUAAGAGAUCGCAACGUGAUUGGUUGUACACUCUUCUUCGUGGUUUUUAAUGGUGGUUGGCAACAGCGUAAUAGGUGCAUUAUCGGCACCUUCUGCUCCAGAGUAAACCUUUUCCUUUGACAGUGGCAGAUAUUAAAAUUUAGAAAAGUGAAAGAAGAGAGAUGUAGUGAUCAUUUGAAUUUAAAAGCAAUAUAUUGUUCGUUUUGAUAAGUUCGAAAAAAGUUUUAGUUUGAUGUUAAAUUUGGUGUAUGACAACAAACCCUAACCAUAACCUUAACCAAAUUAAACGCAGUAUUUAAGUGUAAAAACAAAGAAAAUAUGUGAGAUGUUACACCAUUGCCCACCAUCUAUGUAAUUCCAGGAGACGUGACAAUACGCAUGCGCAAGCUGUGAACCAAUGAACAAGCUCAUCCUUAUCGUGUUCUCUGUACCGUGUUCUCAGCAUCAGACAAACUGACAGCGACUGGAUAUUUCCCUCCUUGCCUGCAGCAGCGUUUCUGCUUUUUGGUUGGAACAGGUCCUGGUACACUGGGGUCCAUGUCAGCGAUGGUUUCAUUUGCUUCCAUCACUUUCAAAUUAAACGUCAAAAUGCCGCCCUAGUGAUAGUGCUGAAAACACAGGGCUGCCCCUUAAAAGUCCACGAUCCCAAUCAUCAGUCGGUGAGCCUUCAGUCUACUGAGAUUCUUCAAGGUCAUUGCGCAGCGUACUUCAGGGGACAUUUCCGUCCCCAGAAGUAGCUGCAGAGUGAGCGCUCCACACUUUCAUGCUGCUGGAUAAAAAAAGCUCCACUAUCUCAAGUCAUCCGUCCAAGUAGCUGCAGACCCAGACCCAAGGAACCAGAUAUAAAGCACACUUCCAGUCCCAUGGGGGAUUCCAGGGUGCUUUCCUCUGACCGAACAAUCAAAAUAUUUCCGAAAAUUUCCAGCACGACCAACCAAUGUUCCCUCCUGUGAGCCGGUGUUAUGGCCCAACU